UUGACAUUAUAGUUCAAAUCUUAAGUUGGGUUAGAGCUUCAAAACUGUAAAUGCAGUUUCAGCAAAUGGGAUCUAAAACUACUUCAGUUAACUGAGUUAGACAAAAGUAAAGUCUACUUGAAGAAAAAGAGUGAAGAAGAAGAUAUGAUAUGAUAAAGAGCCCCAUGUGGAAGAAAAGAGUCUUUUUCUUUUUCUUUAAAGAGUGAGAGAGAAGCAAAAAUUAUGAAUUAUUAUGACAACUAGGGCCGGCGUCCGCGCUGCGCGCGGAUUACAUGUUUAAUAAAAAUCAGGGGAGAAGUUCGAAACGGUGAUCAUUUUUUAAAAAAAAACAACUGAAGUGGUAACGUAAAUGUUUUAAAAGUUGACUGGUGGUGUUUGCUAUGAGGCUUAGGAUAGCAGUUUAUUCCUCUUUUAGAAGCGUUGAAUGAUAUCAAUUUCGUUGUUAAAGUAGAAGCGCGUUCCAGGUGUUGCUGUGAGUGAUAGUUUUUCUGAAAAAGGCAAAUAUUUGUUAGCAUUUAGUUUUUUGUAAAGUUUAUGUUUAGUUUAUUACCUUCAUGUAUCCGUGGAAUGAUACUUGUGAUGAUUACGACUUGUUUUUUCCUUGUU